AGGGGCAGGACUGCAACUGACCAAAGCAAGUGAGAGUCCAGAGCAAGAGGACAGUCAGCCUAGGAUGCCUGAGCUUCCCUGGAGAAUCUGUGGACAACCAGACCUCGGCGAACCAACUCAGAGCAUUUCCUGAAAAUGAACAUCCACCCAGAGGGAAUGCUGUGUGAGUGUUUCCCACAGAGCGAGGGUGGCAUCUGCCUAGCUGGAGGGCUGGCAGCACACUGAAUCUGCCUGCAGUGGAUUCUGAAACAUAGAAUUGUGGCUAGUGGGAUGUCAAACAGGAUGAGACUGAGAGCUGCUUGCCGUGAUGGAGACUGGCAUUCCACCUCUGACCUGUUUCUGUCGUCUCCAAUUACUGGAUGCAGUGCCCUCCUUUGCCUCUUGGCUGUGGUUUGGCAGGAGUGUACCUGGGCUCUGCUGUGGCUGGAGGUGGGAAAGUGGGGCCUAGAAGAGCUGGACCUCAGCUUGCAGCAGCAAGGGGUCCCUUAUCACCACGCCAGCAGCAGGGCAAUGCCUGUGGGAAGCC
ensembl:lncRNA